ACGUGUGAAUAAUGCAGACAAGUAUCUCUCCCUCCAUUUUGAAGCAUAACGUGUGUCACUCUAUUUCUCCACUUCUCUCCUCAGUCCUCACCCCGCGUUCUCUCUCUCCUGAUUUCAGAAAUGGAGUCAAUUCGCCGCUACUUCUGUUCUUCGACUACUCGCUACCAUCAACACUGCCAUAUUGAAACCCUAGCCCCAACCUGAACUGCUCGAGGACGAGGACUCGCUUUCGCCAAGGUGAGAUCGAGAGAUCGAUCCCAGCUGUUUCUUAUCCUCCUCUCUGCCAUGAUUUUCGCCUCCAUCUCCUGAGCUCGUCGAUUGCAAGUUUCUCAAUGGUCUUAAACUUGCCAACAAUCGUCUCUCCGAUUCAAUCCCUUAUGAACUCUCCCGUCUUACUCGUCUCAAGAAGUUCUCGGUUGCUAAUAACCGUCUCUCCGGUACGAUUCCCUCCUUUUCCGAUUUCGAUGCCGCUGGCUUCGACGGCAACAACGGGCUCUGCGGUAGGCCUCUUGGGUCCAACUGUGGUGGUUUUAGCAAGAGGUCAAGUCGUCGCCUUCGCAGGAGGAAGUAUGGGGCUGGAAAAUAUGAAGAUAGCAGUUAGGUGGAGCACUUGAGGGCUCGCAAGCUUGCUCAGGUUUUGUUGUUCCAGAAACCCUUUAUGAAGGUCAAGUUGGCGGAACUCUAGUAGAAGAUGAGAGACUUUUAUUUUAUAAACACAUGCCUAACGCAACUCUGUAUUCUCUGUUGCACGGUUCUGCCAUUACAAACAUUGAGCACAGUUCAUUGGAUUGGAGAACGAGGCUUAAGAUUGGCAAGGGUGUGGCGAGGGGCCUCGCUUGGCUUCAUCAUGGCUGCCAACCCCCUUUCCUGCACUAGAGCAUAAGUUCCAAUGUAAUUCUCCUCGACGAAGACCUAGAUGCUCGGAUUACUGAUUUUGGACUCGCAAGGCUCAUGAGAGAUCCGAAGGCUGAUUGUGCAUCGACAUGAACUCGUUUCUUGCGUUUGGGAAGGAUUAUGUGGGUUGGAAUUAUGGAAAGACUGGGAACCCGGUUUAUUUGCACAUAAAACAGACGAAAAAACCGGUUCCUGAAGAUAGGCCCCUCAAGAAACCGACUGUUCUGGCAAUAGGUAUGGAGGGUGGUUUCGACAACCAUGAACCUGAAUAUGAAGAAUUCCAUAACAUUGUCAUAUUGCCAGAAUUUGUCUAGCUUUCGUUUCCUUCCUUUGAGUUACCAGAAAAGGUCAGAUUGGCAGUUGAUGUUAUAUUAAUGGCUGAAGGUGCUGAGCGGAAAGAGCAAGUAGCAGCUUGGACAGCUGAUAAGAAGCAAGUCAGUGCUUAUGCCAUGAAUCUUCAACAGAUUGGCAAUGGGUCAUUGUCCCUCCAUCUGGGUGGACAUGUGCUAAGUGUGACAAGACUGAAAAUCUAUGGUUGAAUCUAACUGAUGGGAUGAUCCUUUGUGGGAGGGGAAAUUGGGAUGAUAGUGGUGGAAACAACCAUGCUAUUGAACACUACAAAGAAACUAAUUACCCCCUUGCAGUAAAGCUUGGCACUAUAACUGCUGAUUUGGAAGGAGCAGGAGGCAAUUGUUGUUAGCAACAGAUUGGAGGAGCCACGGCUGGUAUUCCAUAUCUCAAAAAAUGCACAUUGUCCUACAGAAAUUAUAUAGAGAUUCACUUCUCUUUUGAAUCAUGGCAACAUGAGGAUAUCUGAUUGAAAUGUUCAAAUGACAAGCGUCAAGUAUGAUUGGAUCCAGCCAGGUCAGACUCAAUUUUCCGAUUAAUUAUCGGUUCAGUUUUGGGUUUGUCUUGAUAGACAGGAGAUCGGGAGUUGUAUUCUACAGCCAAAUUCUGCAUUGCUUACUAAAUAUCAUUGUUCACUAGACAUCAUGUGUUUACAAGAUAUUACGCCUUUGUUAGGCGGAAAAAAAAAAUUGUGUUUUAGAAAUUAACAAACCGGUUGGCACCUUGCUCAUAAGACUUCUUUUAAUUUUUAUGAAAAAAAAAAAACGAGAUUUUGGCAUGUUAAAAGAUUGACGAUAUUCAAUGUUCAGAAAUGUUGGAUUAGUGGUUUCUAAAACUACCAAUUUUGCUUCUUGAACACCCAAAAAGAUUCUGUUUUAGAACCAAUUGAAGCACACAUAAGCAACCAUUUGAUAGCAA